UACGGAGGGUGCAAGCGUUAUCCGGAUUCACUGGGUUUAAAGGGUGCGUAGGAGGGCAGGUAAGUCAGUGGUGAAAUCUCCGGGCUUAACUCGGAAACUGCCGUUGAUACUAUCUGUCUUGAAUACCGUGGAGAUGAGCGGAAUAUGUCAUGUAGCGGUGAAAUGCUUAGAUAUGACACAGAACACCGAUUGCGAAGGCAGCUAGCUAGACCGACAUUGACGCUGAGGCACGAAAGCGUGGGGAUCAAACAGG
rnacentral:rRNA from 1 species